UACGAAGGGGGCUAGCGUUGCUCGGAAUCACUGGGCGUAAAGGGUGCGUAGGCGGGUCUUUAAGUCAGAGGUGAAAUCCUGGAGCUCAACUCCAGAACUGCCUUUGAUACUGAGGGUCUUGAGUAUGACAGAGGUGAGUGGAACUGCGAGUGUAGAGGUGAAAUUCGUAGAUAUUCGCAAGAACACCAGUGGCGAAGGCGACUUACUGGACACGUAUUGACGCUGAGGUGCGAAAGCGUGGGGGAGCAAACAGG
rnacentral:rRNA from 1 species